CGUCCAUGAUCUGGGGACAGAUGAAGUGAACGUGGCAGUCGAUACCGCCGGCCGUCACGAUCUUGCCGUUGCCGGCGAUGAUCUCGGUGGACGGCCCGAUGACCAGAUCCGGAUGAACCCCGUCCAUGGUGUCGGGAUUGCCGGCCUUGCCGAGCGCGACGAUACGUCCAUCGCGAAUUCCCAGGUCCGCCUUGAUGAUUCCCCAGUGGUCCAGAAUGACGACCCCGGUGAUCACCGUGUCGGGAGACCCUUCGGCCCUGGUCGCCCGCCCCUGCCCCAUCGACUCGCGGAUG
rnacentral:sRNA from 1 species